GAUGAACGCUGGCGGCGUGCCUAAUACAUGCAAGUCGAGCGAACAGACGAGGAGCUUUCUCCUCUGCCGUUAGCGGCGGACGGGUGAGUAACACGUGGAUAAACUCCCUAUAAGACUGGGAUAACUUCGGGCAACCGGAGCUAAUACCGGAUAAUAUAUUGAACCGCAUGGUUCAAUAGAGAAAGACGGUUUUGCUGUCACUUAUCGAUGGAUCCGCGCCGCAUUAGCUAGUUGGUAAGGUCACGACUUACCAAGGCAACGAUGCGUAGCCGACCUGAGAGGGGGAUCGGCCACACUGGAACUGAGACACGGUCCAGACUCCUACGGGAGGCAGCAGUAGGGAAUCUUACGCAAUGGGCGAAAGCCUGACGGAGCAACGCCGCGUGAGUGAUGAAGGGCUUCGGAUCGUAAAACUCUGUUAUUAGGGAAGAACAAAAGUGUAAGUAACUAUGCACGUCUUGACGGUACCUAAUCAGAAAGCAACGGCUAACUACGUG
rnacentral:rRNA from 1 species